rnacentral:rRNA from 1 species
AACGAACGCUGGCGGCAUGCCUAACACAUGCAAGUCGAACGAGACCUUCGGGUCUAGUGGCGCACGGGUGCGUAACGCGGGGGAACCUGCCCGUAGGUUCGGAAUAACUCCCCGAAAGGGGUGCUAAUACCGGGUAAUGUCUUCGGACCAAAGAUUUAUCGCCUUUGGGUGGGCCCGCGUUGGAUUAGCUAGUUGGUAGGGUAAAAGCCUACCAAGGCGACGAUCCAUAGCUGGUCUGAGAGGAUGAUCAGCCACACUGGGACUGAGACACGGCCCAGACUCCUACGGGAGGCAGCAGUGGGGAAUAUUGGACAAUGGGCGAGAGCCUGCACCAGCAAUGCCGCGUGAGUGAUGAAGGCCUUAGGGUUGUAAAGCUCUUUUACCCGGGAUGAUAAUGACGGUACCGGGAGAAUAAGCUCCGGCUAACUCCGUG